rnacentral:rRNA from 1 species
CGUAAUAGCUCACUAGUCGAGUCGGCCUGCGCGGAAGAUGUAACGGGGCUAAAACUAUGUGCCGAAGCUGCGGAUUUGACAUUAGUCAAGUGGUAGGGGAGCGUUCUGUAAGCCGAUGAAGGUGUAUUGAGAAGUAUGCUGGAGGUAUCAGAAGUGCGAAUGCUGACGUGAGUAACGACAAAACGGGUGAAAAACCCGUUCGCCGAAAGA